GCGGCGCGCGGAGCUUCCCAAGCGAGACAGAGAAGGGGGAGGUGGAAUGGGCGAGGAGAGCCGCUCGGGUGCGGCACGGUUCCAAUGCCGAGGCGCGGGGGAGGAAGAGAGGGGGGUGGGGAACAUGGGAGCGGUGGGAGGCUUGCGGUUGUGCAGCAGAGAAAGGGAAGAGGGAGGAGGCGAUUUGGAGGGGAUGAAACUGACCAGCGGGUCCCACUUGUCAGCGGAAGAGGGAGGGGGAGAGAGGGGAGUUGGCCGGCUGGGCUGGCUUGGGCCAAGCAGGCCGAAAGCGAGUGGGGGAUAGGGGG
rnacentral:lncRNA from 1 species